UACGGAGGUGGCAAGCGUUGUUCGGAAUUACUGGGCGUAAAGGGCGCGUAGGCGGCAUGGCAAGUCAGAUGUGAAAGCCCCGGGCUUAACCUGGGAAUUGCAUCUGAAACUGUUGUGCUUGAGUUCUGGAGGGGGUAGUGGAAUUCCCAGUGUAGCGGUGAAAUGCGUAGAUAUUGGGAGGAACACCAGUGGCGAAGGCGGCUUUCUGGUCUAACCCUGACGCUGAGGAGCGAAAGCUAGGUGAGCAAACGGGGAUUAGAUACCCCCCGUAGU
rnacentral:rRNA from 1 species